rnacentral:rRNA from 1 species
UACGAAGGGUGCAAGCGUUACUCGGAAUUACUGGGCGUAAAGCGUGCGUAGGUGGUUCGUUAAGUCUGAUGUGAAAGCCCUGGGCUCAACCUGGGAACUGCAUUCGAUACUGCUGAGCUGGAGUACGAAAGAGGGGGGUGGAAUUCCAGGUGUAGCGGUGAAAUGCGUAGAGAUCUGGAGGAACACCAGUGGCGAAGGCGGCCCCCUGGUUCGAUACUGACGCUGAGGUGCGAAAGCGUGGGGAGCAAACAGG